rnacentral:rRNA from 1 species
GUCGAGCGGUAACAUUUCUAGCUUGCUAGAAGAUGACGAGCGGCGGACGGGUGAGUAAUGCUUGGGAAUAUGCCUUAUGGUGGGGGACAACAGUUGGAAACGACUGCUAAUACCGCAUAAUGUCUACGGACCAAAGGGGGGGAUCUUCGGACCUCUCGCCAUUUGAUUAGCCCAAGUGAGAUUAGCUAGUUGGUGAGGUAAUGGCUCACCAAGGCGACGAUCGGUAGCUGGUCUGAGAGGAUGAUCAGCCACACUGGGACUGAGACACGGCCCAGACUCCUACGGGAGGCAGCAGUGGGGAAUAUUGGACAAUGGGCGAAAGCCUGAUCCAGCAAUGCCGCGUGAGUGAUGAAGGUCUUCGGAUUGUAAAGCUCUUUCGACGGGGAAGAUAAUGACGGUACCCGUAGAAGAAGCCCCGGCUAACUUCGUGCCAGCAGCCGCGGUAAUACGAAGGGGGCUAGCGUUGUUCGGAUUUACUGGGCGUAAAGCGUGCGUAGGCGGCUUGUCAAGUCAGAAGUGAAAGCCCGGGGCUCAACUCCGGAACUGCUUUUGAGACUGGCAGGCUUGAGUUCGGGAGAGGGUAGUGGAAUUCCCAGUGUAGAGGUGAAAUUCGUAGAUAUUG